rnacentral:rRNA from 1 species
GACGAACGCUGGCGGCGUGCUUAACACAUGCAAGUCGAACGGAAGGGCCCUGCUUUUGUGGGGUGCUCGAGUGGCGAACGGGUGAGUAACACGUGAGUAACCUGCCCUUGACUUUGGGAUAACUUCAGGAAACUGGGGCUAAUACCGGAUAGGAGCUCCUGCUGCAUGGUGGGGGUUGGAAAGUUUCGGCGGUUGGGGAUGGACUCGCGGCUUAUCAGCUUGUUGGUGGGGUAGUGGCUUACCAAGGCUUUGACGGGUAGCCGGCCUGAGAGGGUGACCGGCCACAUUGGGACUGAGAUACGGCCCAGACUCCUACGGGAGGCAGCAGUGGGGAAUAUUGCACAAUGGGCGGAAGCCUGAGGCAGCAACGCCGCGUGCGGGAUGACGGCCUUCGGGUUGUAAACCGCUUUCGCCUGUGACGAAGCGUGAGUGACGGUAAUGGGUAAAGAAGCACCGGCUAACUACGUG